GAGUUUGAUCCUGGCUCAGGAUGAACGCUAGCGGGAGGCCUAACACAUGCAAGCCGAGCGGUAGAGAUUCUUCGGAAUCUUGAGAGCGGCGCACGGGUGCGGAACACGUGUGCAACCUGCCUUUAUCUGGGGGAUAGCCUUUCGAAAGGGAGAUUAAUACCCCAUAAUAUACUGAGUGGCAUCACUUAUUAUUGAAAACUCCGGUGGAUAGAGAUGGGCACGCGCAAGAUUAGAUAGUUGGUGAGGUAACGGCUCACCAAGUCAAUGAUCUUUAGGGGGCCUGAGAGGGUGAUCCCCCACACUGGUACUGAGACACGGACCAGACUCCUACGGGAGGCAGCAGUGAGGAAUAUUGGACAAUGGGUGAGAGCCUGAUCCAGCCAUCCCGCGUGAAGGACGACGGCCCUAUGGGUUGUAAACUUCUUUUGUACAGGGAUAAACCUUUCCACGUGUGGAAAGCUGAAGGUACUGUACGAAUAAGCACCGGCUAACUCCGUGCCAGCAGCCGCGGUAAUACGGAGGGUGCAAGCGUUAUCCGGAUUUAUUGGGUUUAAAGGGUCCGUAGGCGGAUCUGUAAGUCAGUGGUGAAAUCUCAUAGCUUAACUAUGAAACUGCCAUUGAUACUGCAGGUCUUGAGUAAGGUAGAAGUAGCUGGAAUAAGUAGUGUAGCGGUGAAAUGCAUAGAUAUUACUUAGAACACCAAUUGCGAAGGCAGGUUACUAUGUCUUAACUGACGCUGAUGGACGAAAGCGUGGGGAGCGAACAGGAUUAGAUACCCUGGUAGUCCACGCUGUAAACGAUGCUAACUCGUUUUUGGGUUUUCGGAUUCAGAGACUAAGCGAAAGUGAUAAGUUAGCCACCUGGGGAGUACGAACGCAAGUUUGAAACUCAAAGGAAUUGACGGGGGCCCGCACAAGCGGUGGAUUAUGUGGUUUAAUUCGAUG
rnacentral:rRNA from 1 species